AGUUUGAUCCUGGCUCAGAUUGAACGCUGGCGGAUGUCAUGGUAGGCGCUGAACGGCAGCACGGACUUCGGUCUGGUGGCGAGAGUGGCGAAACGGUGAGAAUACUCGGAACGUGCCUAGUAGCGGGAUAACUACGAAAAGCGUAGCUAAUACCGCAUACGCCCUUCGGGGGAAAGCGGGGGACCUUCGGGCCUCGCACUAUUAGAGCGGCCGAUAUCGGAUUAGCUUAGUUGGUGGGGUAACGGCUCACCAAGGCGACGAUCCGUAGCUGGUUUGAGAGGACGACCAGCCACACUGGGACUGAGACACGGCCCACUCCUACGGGAGGCAGCAGUGGGAAUUCUGACAAUGGGAAACCCCGAUCCAGCCAUCCCGCGUGUGCGAUGAAGGCCUUCGGGUUGUAAAGCACUUUUGGCAGGAAAGAAAACGGCACGGGAUAAUACCCGUGCAACUGACGUACCGCAGAAAAUAAGCACCGGCUAACUACGUGCCAGCAGCCGCGGCAAUACGUAGCAAGCGCACUGGAAUUACUGGGCGUAAAGCGUGCGCAGGCGGUUCGAAAGAAAGAUGUAAAUCCGAGCUGAACUUUGGAACUGCAUUUUUAACGGUCGAGCCAGAGUGUGUCAGAGGGAGGUGUGGAAUUCAUAAAGAGUGAAAUGCGUAGAUAUGCGGAGGAACACCGAUGGCGAAGGCAGCCUCCUGGGAUAACACUGACGCUCAUGCACGAAAGCGUGGGGAGCAAACAGGAUUAGAUACCCUGAAUCACGGCCCUAAACGAUGUCAACUAGCUGUUGGGGCCUUCGGGCCUUGGUAGCAGCUUAACGCGUGAAGUUGACCGCCUGGGGAGUACGGUCGCAAGAUUAAAACUCAAAGGAAUUGACGGGGACCCGCACAAGCGGUGGAUGAUGUGGGGAUUAAUUCGAUGCAACGCGAAAACUUUACCUACCCUUGACAUGUCUGAAUCCCGAAGAGAUUUGGGAGUGCUCGCAAGAGAACCGGAACACAGGUGCUGCAUGGCUGUCGUCAGCUCGUGUCGAAAGAAGGAGUCCGCAACGAGCGCAACCCUUGUCAUUAGUUGCUACGAAAGGGCACUCUGCACGAGACUGCCAGACAAACCGGAGGAAGGUGGGGAUGACGUCAAGUCCUCAUGGCCUCAUGGUAGUCACACGUCACAAUGGUCGGGACAGAGGGUCGCCAACCCGCGAGGGGGAGCCAAUCCCAGAAACCCGAUCGGGGUCCGAUCGCAGUCUGCACCGACUGGGUGAAGUCGGAAUCGCUAGUAAUCGCGGAUCGCAUGUCGCGGUGAAUACGUUCCUGGUCUUGUACACACCGCCCGUCACACCAUGGGAGUGGGUUUUACCAGAAGUAGGUUAGCCUAACCGUAUGAGGGCUAUCACUACGGUAGGAUUCAUGACUGGGGUGAACAAGGUAGCUCUGUUAUUUAAUUAUUCCCAGGCAAUACGUAACUGAACGCAGCUUUUGAUAUUGCUCGACCUGUUUCUCAGGGAUGUUAACUAUUCAUAAAGAUUCCAAUCCUAUUUGCCCCACGUUUGCUUCAGCGUCAGUUACAAGCCAGAGAGCCGCUUUCGCCAACCGGUGUUCCCAUAUCUACAUCACCGCCACACAUGGAAUCACCUCCCCUUCCUUUUGCACCGGUUAAAUACCAAAGUUAAAAUUAUGGUUAGUUUUCAAUAGCCUGAAUUUCUAGAUCUAUCUUAACCGUCUUUGCUUGUUUUUGCCCACAAACGGACAACGCUCGGGACCUACGUAUUACCGCGGCUGUUGGUACUAGUUAGAAGGUCCUUUCUGAAAAAGAUAUCGUCACAGUAAAGAAUUUUCCACUUUACACUCAUUCUUCUCAGCCUGAGCUUUUUGCCGAUCCGAAAACUCUUUCUUCGAUUCGGCCGCAAGUUGCUCGGUCAGACUUCCGUCCAUUUGCCAAGAUUCUCUACUACAAAACCU
rnacentral:misc_RNA from 1 species